rnacentral:rRNA from 1 species
UUAAGCGACUAAGCGUACACGGUGGAUGCCCUGGCAGUCAGAGGCGAUGAAGGACGUGCUAAUCUGCGAUAAGCGUCGGUAAGGUGAUAUGAACCGUUAUAACCGGCGAUUUCCGAAUGGGGAAACCCAGUGUGAUUCGUCACACUAUCAUUAACUGAAUCCAUAGGUUAAUGAGGCGAACCGGGGGAACUGAAACAUCUAAGUACCCCGAGGAAAAGAAAUCAACCGAGAUUCCCCCAGUAGCGGCGAGCGAACGGGGAGCAGCCCAGAGCCUGAAUCAGUGUGUGUGUUAGUGGAAGCGUCUGGAAAGGCGCGCGAUACAGGGUGACAGCCCCGUACACAAAAAUGCACAUACUGUGAGCUCGAUGAGUAGGGCGGGACACGUGGUAUCCUGUCUGAAUAUGGGGGGACCAUCCUCCAAGGCUAAAUACUCCUGACUGACCGAUAGUGAACCAGUACCGUGAGGGAAAGGCGAAAAGAACCCCGGCGAGGGGAGUGAAAAAGAACCUGAAACCGUGUACGUACAAGCAGUGGGAGCACAGAGCAAUCUGUGUGACUGCGUACCUUUUGUAUAAUGGGUCAGCGACUUAUAUUCUGUAGCAAGGUUAACCGAAUAGGGGAGCCGAAGGGAAACCGAGUCUUAACUGGGCGUUAAGUUGCAGGGUAUAGACCCGAAACCCGGUGAUCUAGCCAUGGGCAGGUUGAAGGUUGGGUAACACUAACUGGAGGACCGAACCGACUAAUGUUGAAAAAUUAGCGGAUGACUUGUGGCUGGGGGUGAAAGGCCAAUCAAACCGGGAGAUAGCUGGUUCUCCCCGAAAGCUAUUUAGGUAGCGCCUCGUGAAUUCAUCUCCGGGGGUAGAGCACUGUUUCGGCAAGGGGGUCAUCCCGACUUACCAACCCGAUGCAAACUGCGAAUACCGGAGAAUGUUAUCACGGGAGACACACGGCGGGUGCUAACGUCCGUCGUGAAGAGGGAAACAACCCAGACCGCCAGCUAAGGUCCCAAAGUCAUGGUUAAGUGGGAAACGAUGUGGGAAGGCCCAGACAGCCAGGAUGUUGGCUUAGAAGCAGCCAUCAUUUAAAGAAAGCGUAAUAGCUCACUGGUCGAGUCGGCCUGCGCGGAAGAUGUAACGGGGCUAAACCAUGCACCGAAGCUGCGGCAGCGACGCUGAUGCGUUGUUGGGUAGGGGAGCGUUCUGUAAGCCUGUGAAGGUGUGCUGUGAGGCAUGCUGGAGGUAUCAGAAGUGCGAAUGCUGACAUAAGUAACGAUAAAGCGGGUGAAAAGCCCGCUCGCCGGAAGACCAAGGGUUCCUGUCCAACGUUAAUCGGGGCAGGGUGAGUCGACCCCUAAGGCGAGGCCGAAAGGCGUAGUCGAUGGGAAACAGGUUAAUAUUCCUGUACUUGGUGUUACUGCGAAGGGGGGACGGAGAAGGCUAUGUUGGCCGGGCGACGGUUGUCCCGGUUUAAGCGUGUAGGCUGGUUUUCCAGGCAAAUCCGGAAAAUCAAGGCUGAGGCGUGAUGACGAGGCACUACGGUGCUGAAGCAACAAAUGCCCUGCUUCCAGGAAAAGCCUCUAAGCAUCAGGUAACAUCAAAUCGUACCCCAAACCGACACAGGUGGUCAGGUAGAGAAUACCAAGGCGCUUGAGAGAACUCGGGUGAAGGAACUAGGCAAAAUGGUGCCGUAACUUCGGGAGAAGGCACGCUGAUAUGUAGGUGAAGUCCCUCGCGGAUGGAGCUGAAAUCAGUCGAAGAUACCAGCUGGCUGCAACUGUUUAUUAAAAACACAGCACUGUGCAAACACGAAAGUGGACGUAUACGGUGUGACGCCUGCCCGGUGCCGGAAGGUUAAUUGAUGGGGUUAGCGCAAGCGAAGCUCUUGAUCGAAGCCCCGGUAAACGGCGGCCGUAACUAUAACGGUCCUAAGGUAGCGAAAUUCCUUGUCGGGUAAGUUCCGACCUGCACGAAUGGCGUAAUGAUGGCCAGGCUGUCUCCACCCGAGACUCAGUGAAAUUGAACUCGCUGUGAAGAUGCAGUGUACCCGCGGCAAGACGGAAAGACCCCGUGAACCUUUACUAUAGCUUGACACUGAACAUUGAGCCUUGAUGUGUAGGAUAGGUGGGAGGCUUUGAAGUGUGGACGCCAGUCUGCAUGGAGCCGACCUUGAAAUACCACCCUUUAAUGUUUGAUGUUCUAACGUUGACCGUAAUCCGGGUUGCGGACAGUGUCUGGUGGGUAGUUUGACUGGGGCGGUCUCCUCCUAAAGAGUAACGGAGGAGCACGAAGGUUGGCUAAUCCUGGUCGGACAUCAGGAGGUUAGUGCAAUGGCAUAAGCCAGCUUGACUGCGAGCGUGACGGCGCGAGCAGGUGCGAAAGCAGGUCAUAGUGAUCCGGUGGUUCUGAAUGGAAGGGCCAUCGCUCAACGGAUAAAAGGUACUCCGGGGAUAAACAGGCUGAUACCGCCCAAGAGUUCAUAUCGACGGCGGUGUUUGGCACCUCGAUGUCGGCUCAUCACAUCCUGGGGCUGAAGUAGGUCCCAAGGGUAUGGCUGUUCGCCAUUUAAAGUGGUACGCGAGCUGGGUUUAGAACGUCGUGAGACAGUUCGGUCCCUAUCUGCCGUGGGCGCUGGAGAACUGAGGGGGGCCUGCUCCUAGUACGAGAGGACCGGAGUGGACGCAUCACUGGUGUUCGGGUUGUCAUGCCAAUGGCACUGCCCGGUAGCUAAAUGCGGAAGAGAUAAGUGCUGAAAGCAUCUAAGCACGAAACUUGCCCCGAGAUGAGUUCUCCCUGACCUUUAAGGGUCCUGAGGAACGUUGAAGACGACGACGUUGAUAGGCCGGGUGUGUAAGCGCAGCGAUGCGUUGAGCUAACCGGUACUAAUGAACCGUGAGGCUUAACCU